AGAUUGAACGCUGGCGGCAGGCCUAACACAUGCAAGUCGAGCGGCAGCACGGGUACUUGUACCUGGUGGCGAGCGGCGGACGGGUGAGUAAUGCCUAGGAAUCUGCCUGGUAGUGGGGGGAUAACGCUCGGAAACGGACGCUAAUACCGCAUACGUCCUACGGGAGAAAGCAGGGGACCUUCGGGCCUUGCGCUAUCGGAUGAGCCUAGGUCGGAUUAGCUAGUUGGUGAGGUAAUGGCUCACCAAGGCGACGAUCCGUAACUGGUCUGAGAGGAUGAUCAGUCACACUGGAACUGAGACACGGUCCAGACUCCUACGGGAGGCAGCAGUGGGGAAUAUUGGACAAUGGGCGAAAGCCUGAUCCAGCCAUGCCGCGUGUGUGAAGAAGGUCUUCGGAUUGUAAAGCACUUUAAGUUGGAGGAAGGCAGUUACCUAAUACGUAUCUGUUUUGACGUUACGACAGAAUAAGCACCGGCUAACUCUGU
rnacentral:rRNA from 1 species